rnacentral:rRNA from 1 species
UACGGAGGAUGCAAGCGUUAUCCGGAAUUAUUGGGCGUAAAGCGUCCGCAGGUGGCAUUUCAAGUCUGUUGUCAAAGACCGGGGCUUAACCCUGGAAAGGCAAUGGAAACUGAGAAGCUAGAGUGUCGUAGGGGUAGAGGGAAUUCCUGGUGUAGCGGUGAAAUGCGUAGAGAUCAGGAAGAACAUCGGUGGCGAAAGCGCUCUACUGGACGACAACUGACACUCAGGGACGAAAGCUAGGGGAGCGAAUGGG